CUCAAACCACAAUCACAGUUGUUGGUUCCAGAAACAUCUUCUUUGGAAAAACAUGUGACAUCAGUUUCCUCAGAGUCUCCCGGACAAUCCAGUCACGCAGAACUGACAAAACCUUGUCCAGUAAGAAGAUACUUUCUUCCGUAAUUCAAGAUAAAGAAAAUUACAAUCUCUGCUGUCCAUUCCAUCGCUUUUCCCUUCAGAAUCAUAAUCAGAGAAUCCUUGCAGAACGUCGUGAGUGUGCUCUCAGCUGCAAUCACCAGAAGGACUCUUCACACUCGGUGAGUCCUCCUCAUUUUAUAGAAGCCAAAGCAAUGACGUAUGCUCACCCCUCCCGCCCCCAGGAGAGAGGUUGCUGGCCAAUGAGCUUGAGCUUCGUCAUCCUUCCAAGCCCCACCCAGUUCCUUUGCUUCCCUUUCACCAACUUUGACUGAAAUGAAUAGGUUACAACCUUUAGCUUUCUGCCCCUUGGAAAACGGAAGCAUUUAGACAUCCGUAUUAAUAUUUGGAUCUAGAGUGUUCGUGUUUUAGCACUUCCUUUUUUGAAAGGAGAAGCAGACGUGUUGUGUUUUUAGGAACACUU
rnacentral:sRNA from 1 species